GCCCAAAUAGCUCAGUUGGUUAGAGCACCAUCGUCACAUGGUGGGGGUCCAGCGUUCGAGUCGCUGUUUGGGCACCA
rnacentral:tRNA from 1 species